ACGGAAGGCAGCAGUGGGGAAUAUUGGGCGAUGGGCGAAAGCCUGACCCAGCGACGCCGCGUGAGGGAAGAAGGUCUUCGGAUUGUAAACCUCUUUCAGCAGGGAAGAACAAUGACGGUACCUGCAGAAGAAGUCACGGCUAACUACGUGCCAGCAGCCGCGGUAAUACGUAGGUGGCGAGCGUUAUCCGGAAUUACUGGGUGUAAAGGGUGUGUAGGCGGAGAAGCAAGUCAGGCGUGAAAUUCAGAGGCUCAACCUCUGGACUGCGCUUGAAACUGUUUCCCUUGAGAGUGGGAGAGGUAAACGGAAUUCCUGGUGUAGUAGUGAAAUGCGUAGAUAUCAGGAGGAACACCGGUGGCGAAGGCGGUUUACUGGACCACAACUGACGCUGAGACACGAAAGAGUGGGGAGCAAACAG
rnacentral:rRNA from 1 species